GCCAGUGUGGCUCAGUGGUUGAGCAUCAAGCUAUGAACCAGGAGGUCAUGGUUUGAUUCCUGGCACAUGCC
rnacentral:tRNA from 1 species